rfam:Heterocephalus glaber contig190472, whole genome shotgun sequence.
GGGCAUUAGCCAGCAUGAGUUAUUUGUACAAGGUCUUAAAGAAACUUUACAGGCACGAGGGGUAAAGGUUACAGUCAAACAGUUGUUAAAAUUUUUUGAUUAUAUUAGAGAUCUCUGCCCUU